AAAACUUUAAGAUCAGUCAAGAUCGGCUUAAAAUUAGGCUUGCGUAAAACAAAUUGACUUUUUCUGUUGACCGAACACUGAUUGGAUGAUGAAAUGAACUUACAAUAGAUAUGAGUGCGUAGGAUAGCUGGCAAUUUUAACUAAAUCUCAACCGUUCAUGAUUCAAUAGUCAUGCUUGUGCCACGUGGCAAUGGUUGGUGAAGCAAGUUUUAGGAUCCGAAUCUUUGUAGUCAGGUUGACCUGAUCCACCCAUUAACCCGCCAAAUCUCAACUGUUCUUUGGCCAAAUCGGACGAGUCAAACGAUGCCACGUGUGAUGUUGACUUUUGAAAUUUGACCAGCUGUUGGAUUGUGAUCUAAUGGUCGUGAGGAGCGCAUACAUGAAGCUUAUGAUGGACUGCAAAACACUAUAUUAUCAAUUUAUUUUUCUAUAAAUAGAGCCUCAUUUUUAUGUUUUUAAUCAUCUCUUUACAUCUCUCUUCUUCUCAAAUUCUCUCCAUCUCCCUGUAAUCUUGAUUUUCAGGUGUGUUUUUAAUAUUU
rnacentral:lncRNA from 1 species